UUAUAUUUUUGAAUUUACUAUGGUACUCAAAAAAAUUGAAUCAUGAUAUAUACAAUUUUAUAGAUGCCUACUUUGAUUAAAAUUAAGUAUCAAUAGCUCUUGAAGAUUGGUACAAGACAACAUUGAAGACUUAUUGAGAAACUUUUGUAUAUGUAGAAGUACCUUUUGGUUUAAGUAAUAUUCUUUUAGCUUUUAAGAAAGUCACGAUCUACACAUUUUUAGAUCUUUUUAAAAAUCUAUGCAUUUUUUUUAUUAAUGACUUUAGUUGUUAAUCAUCAAAAAGACCAACAAAUUUAAAUG
rnacentral:lncRNA from 1 species